GAUGAACGCUGGCGGCGUGCCUAAUACAUGCAAGUCGUGCGGACCUUUUAAAAGCUUGCUUUUAAAAGGUUAGCGGCGGACGGGUGAGUAACACGUGGGCAACCUGCCUGUAAGACUGGGAUAACGCCGGGAAACCGGGGCUAAUACCAGAUCGUUUUUUCCUCCGCAUGGAGGAAAAAGGAAAGGCGGCUUCGGCUGCCACUUACAGAUGGGCCCGCGGCGCAUUAGCUAGUUGGCGGGGUAACGGCCCACCAAGGCAACGAUGCGUAGCCGACCUGAGAGGGUGAUCGGCCACAUUGGGACUGAGACACGGCCCAAACUCCUACGGGAGGCAGCAGUAGGGAAUCUUCCGCAAUGGACGAAAGUCUGACGGAGCAACGCCGCGUGAGUGAAGAAGGCCUUCGGGUCGUAAAACUCUGUUGCCGGGGAAGAACAAGUGCCGUUCGAACAGGGCGGCGCCUUGACGGUACCCGGCCAGAAAGCCACGGCUAACUACGUG
rnacentral:rRNA from 1 species